AUGCUCUGGGCUCCCCUCAUUGUCCUACUGGGGACGUGGUGCACAGGUUCCAGCUCAAAGCCUGUGCUGAAUCAGCCGCCCUCAGUGUCAGUGUCGCCAGGAAACACCGUGAAACUCUCCUGCACCAUGAGCAGUGGGACCAGCAUCAGUGGCUACCAUGUGUCCUGGUACCAGCAGAAACCUGGGAAUUCUCCACAAUACCUGCUGAGAUACAAGUCAGAUUCCGACAAGCACCAGGGCUCUGGGGUCCCUGCUUGUUUCUCUGGCUCCAAAGACACGUCCAGUAACGCCGGCUAUCUGACCAUCACUGGGGCCCUGGCAGAGGAUGAAGCUGAUCAUUAUUGUUCUCACCACAAGAGCGUUUUUGGGGCCCUGGCUGAUGCCAUCUCAGCUUAG